GACGGAGGAUGCAAGUGUUAUCCGGAAUCACUGGGCGUAAAGCGUCUGUAGGUGGUCAAAUAAGUCCACUGUUAAAUCUUGAGGCUCAACCUCAAAAUCGCAGUCGAAACUAUUAGACUAGAGUAUAGUAGGGGUAAAGGGAAUUUCCAGUGGAGCGGUGAAAUGCGUAGAGAUUGGAAAGAACACCGAUGGCGAAGGCACUUUACUGGGCUAUUACUAACACUCAGAGACGAAAGCUAGGGUAGCAAAUGGG
rnacentral:rRNA from 1 species